rnacentral:rRNA from 1 species
CAAUAGCAUAUAUUAAAGUUGUUGCGGUUAAAAAGCUCGUAGUUGGAUUUCUGCUUAGGACAGCCGGUCCGCACUACGUGCGUGUAUCUGGUUUGGCCUGGGCAUCCUAUCCGAAGGGGAUACUGUGCUUGAUUGCAUGGUUUUCAGUCGGGUACUUUUACUUUGAGGAAAUUAGAGUGUUCACGGCAGGCAAUCGCCCUGAAUAUAUUAGCAUGGAAUAAUAAUAUAGGAUCUGAUGCCUAUUUUGUUGGUUUCUAGGUGUUAGAUAAUGAUUAAUAGGGACAAUUGGGGGCAUUCGUAUUAUGGCGUCAGAGGUGGAAUUCUUGGAUUGCCAUACGACGAACUACUGCGAAAGCAUUUGCCAAGGAUGUUUUCAUUGA